UACGUAGGGACCGAGCGUUGUCCGGAUUCAUUGGGCGUAAAGAGCUCGUAGGCGGCUGUUCAAGUCGAACGUGAAAACUCGGAGCUCAACUCCGAGCCUGCGUUCGAUACUGGACGGCUAGAGUCUGGUAGGGGGAUCUGGAAUUCCUGGUGUAGCGGUGGAAUGCGCAGAUAUCAGGAGGAACACCGGUGGCGAAGGCGGUUCUCUGGGCAUGAUCUGACGCUGAGGAGCGAAAGUGUGGGGAGCGAACAGG
rnacentral:rRNA from 1 species